CCGGCGCCUCAGGCUGAUGGUGCUGAGAGGCUGCCGUCUGUGGAGACCCCCGGGGAAGCCCCGGCGCUCUCCUGUGCGCAUGCUUAAGCUACUCCGAACUCGGCAUCCAGGGGGGCCAGCUCUGGAAACAGCAUCUCUUCUUCCUCACUGCCUCUCGCUCCGAGUGGGCUAUUUCUCGCACCUUCCACACACGGGUCGCAACAUCUGGGUGCUGGAAGGGAGGUCAGCUGCUUAGGACCCUACCUUGGAGCGGCCGAGGGCCCACCACCAAUCUGCUAGUGAUGGCAUAAGAAAUGGAAACUUACCUGCCAUACGUGAUUUAGCAUAUGCUGUGUACAGAACUGAUUCGAAGAGACUCUAGUAGAAGAUGUUUUUGUAAACUUCAGACAUAAUACAUGGCAUCAGGAGUGGAGACAUUUCUUUUUGGACAAGCUCUGAAAGGAUGAAAGGAAAAUGUUUCUUUAAAUGUGAACCGAGAAACAACGGAUGUGUGGAAGCUCCUUAUGGAGGAGACCGACAUUCCAUUUUUGUGCACUGUUUCCCAGUGCCUUUUCACUGCUUCUGGCUGCAGUAGGCAUUCAACAGAUGGUCAAAGCCAACUGACUCACUUCUGAACUGAGAGAGGAUGACCCGCAGAGGAGCCUUGCGUGAGCCGUGCUGUAGAUGACAAGACCCCAUCUGCUCAUGAGCCUGAUCUACUGCCUCACCCGAGGGUCAGAAACAAAGCAGAUGCUGGACACAGUGGUCAA